CGUAGGUGGCAAGCGUUGUCCGGAUUUAUUGGGUUUAAAGGGUGCGUAGGCGGCCCCGUAAGUCAGUGGUGAAAUAUCUCAGCUUAACUGAGAGGGUGCCAUUGAUACUGCGGGGCUUGAGUACAGAUGAGGUAGGCGGAAUUGACGGUGUAGCGGUGAAAUGCAUAGAUAUCGUCAAGAACUCCGAUAGCGAAGGCAGCUUACUAAGCUGUAACUGACGCUGAGGCACGAAAGUGUGGGGAUCAAACAGGAUUAGAUACCCUGGUAGUCCACACUGUAAACGUCGAUGACUCGAUGCUGGCGAUACACAGCCAGCGUCCAAGAGCAAUCGUUAAGUCAUCCACCUGGGGAGUACGCCGGCAACGGUG
rnacentral:rRNA from 1 species